AUUGAACGCUGGCGGCAGGCCUAACACAUGCAAGUCGAGCGGAUGAAGGGAGCUUGCUCCUGGAUUCAGCGGCGGACGGGUGAGUAAUGCCUAGGAAUCUGCCUGGCAUUUGGGGAUAACGUCCGGAAACGGGCGCUAAUACCGCACCCGUCCUGAUGGAGAACGUGGGGGAUCUUCGGACCUCGCGCUAUCAGAUGAGCCUAAGUCGGAUUAGCUAGUUGGUGUGGUAAAGGCCUACCAAGGCGACGAUCCGUAACUGGUCUGAGAGGAUGAUCAGUCACACUGGAACUGAGACACGGUCCAGACUCCUACGGGAGGCAGCAGUGGGGAAUCUUCGACAAUGGGCGAAAGCCUGAUCCAGCCAUGCCGCGUGUGUGAAGAAGGUCUUCGGAUUGUAAAGCUCUUUAAGUUGGGAAGAAGGACAGUAAGUUAAUACCUUGCUGUUUUGACGUUACCAACAGAAUAAGCACCGGCUAACUUCGUG
rnacentral:rRNA from 1 species